AGCGAACGCUGGCGGCAGGCCUAACACAUGCAAGUCGAGCGCCCCGCAAGGGGAGCGGCAGACGGGUGAGUAACACGUGGGAACGUGCCCUUCGGUUCGGAAUAGCCCGGGGAAACUCGGAGUAAUACCGGAUACGUCCGCAAGGAGAAAGAUUUAUCGCCGAAGGAGCGGCCCGCGUCUGAUUAGCUUGUUGGUGAGGUAACGGCUCACCAAGGCUACGAUCAGUAGCUGGUCUGAGAGGAUGAUCAGCCACACUGGGACUGAGACACGGCCCAGACUCCUACGGGAGGCAGCAGUGGGGAAUAUUGGACAAUGGGCGCAAGCCUGAUCCAGCCAUGCCGCGUGAGUGAUGAAGGCCCUAGGGUUGUAAAGCUCUUUCGGCGGGGAAGAUAAUGACGGUACCCGCAGAAGAAGCCCCGGCCAACUUCGUGCCAGCCGCCGCGGUAACAC
rnacentral:rRNA from 1 species